rnacentral:tRNA from 1 species
GGCCCCUUCGUCUAAUGGUAAGGACGGCAGCCUCUCAAGUUGCAAAUGUCGGGUUCAAGUCCCGCAGGGGUCA